AUGUGGCAAUGCAAGACCUGCCCUUCAGUUUUUCCAAGUAGGUCCCAUAUUCUGAAUCACUAUCGAGUCAGUCAUAGACAUUAUGGGAAUAACAACCGUAUUCCAUGUGUGCAUGCAAGCUGCCCAUGCACUUUUAGAACGUGGAAUGCAUUAUUAAUUCAUUUGAAUAGGUGUCAUGGUAUUAAAACCAGUUGUCAUCAGUCAGAGAAAUUAACAUUUAGUUGCCAUUUGUGUCCUUGUAAGGAUCUUGUGUCUGAGAGGGAUUACUGGACUCACAUUAAUGCACAUUUAAAGAAAAAUGAGGUUGUAACGUGUAUGUUCUUGGAUUGCAAAUUUCAAACAAACAUUUUAGGAUCUUUUAAGUCCCACAAGAGCAGAAAACACAGGUCUUUUUCCUCAAAAGAGUUUAAACCAGGAAUUGUAGUAUCAGCCACCCUUGCUUCCCCAGAAUCUGCUUUAAAUACUUCUGAUGAUGACAUUGGUGAGGAUGCUCAACUCGGUAGCUUUACAGGUGCUCUAAAUGACCUCCCAGAUGUAAUCGAGCACAGUCUGGCAGCAGCUUUGUUAAAAUUAGAACAUUUUUCCCAUGUACCAAGCAGAGCAAUCAAUGAUUUUUUAGUAGAACUUCACCACUUAACUGGCUGUCUCUCAAAAUCUCAUGCUGAAGGUGUUGUAGUAGACAUUUUUCAGAAGCACAAGCUCCAGGUUGACAGAGCUCUCAUAGAUGAACUAAUCUCCUCUCUGUGCUCAGCAAAUCCUCUAAAUAAGGCCAUAGAGAAGGGUGGACCUUUGAGUUCUGCAUAUCAACGUAAGCAAUAUUACAAGGCAAAAUUUAAUGUUGUUGAACCACUUGAAUAUAUUUUGGAUGCGAAAGAGAACAAAACAUUCCAGUAUGUCCCCAUCCUAGAAUCCCUGCAAGUCCUGCUAAGCAGGAAAGAUAUUGUGGAUAAGAUAGUUAGUCAUCACAAAACACAAAGGGAGACAGAGACUGGAAAAAAAAUUGUGUACAGGUCUUACAAGGAUGGUCUGCAUUUUAAGGAAAAUAGUUUGUUGUCAGGGGAGGACCUAAGUUUAUCCAUAACUUUGUAUGCUGAUGACUUUGAGGUCUGUAACCCUUUGGGCACCUCCCGCAAAACCCACAAACUUUGUGCUGUGUAUUGGGUACUAAGUAAUCUUCCCCCAGGGUCUCAUUCCAGUUUGUCCUCAAUUUUCUUGGCCAUUUUGUGUAAAACGGACACUGUAAAGUCAUUUGGUUAUGACAAGGUUUUAGAGCCCCUAAUACACGACCUGAGGUCUUUGGAAGUUGAGGGCAUUUUUGUCCCACAACUGAACAAAACACUGAAGGGUACAGUGCAGACUAUUGCUGCUUACAAUUUAGGAGCACACGGAAUAGCAGGUUUUGUGGAGAACUUUACAGGCCACUACUUUUGUCGUUUUUGUACAGCACCAGCUUCAGAUAUUCAAUUGCAUGAGGUUAGGUCAGGAACUUUCAGCCUCAGAACAAAAGAAACACACGAAACCCAUGUCAGAGCAGCGUUGGAUAGUGGCAGUAGCUUAUUUGGAGUAAAAAGAGCCUGUCCUUUUACUGGAGCACUGUCUCAUUUUCAUGUUGUCAGUGGCUACCCUCCUGACAUUGCUCAUGAUCUUUUUGAAGGCAUUGUGCCUGUUGAAAUAGCUCAUUGCCUCACAUUACUAAUAUCAAAGAAGUAUAUCACCUUGGAUGAUAUAAACAGUUCUAUUCUGCAUUUCCCAUACAAGUGGACAGACAAAACCAAUAAGCCUCAUACUUUGCCACAAAAUCUUUCAAGCAGGAAAACCAUAGGGGGCAAUGCCCAUGAAAAUUGGAGCUUGUUAAGAUUGCUCCCAUUUCUAAUUGGCCCCAGUAUUCCUGAACAUGAGCCAGUAUGGCAGGUCUUGUUGGAUCUAAAACAGAUGGUUGAGCUAGUGGUUGCCCCAGUUCACAGUGACGAGUCUAUCGCUUACCUUGAGAGCAAAAUUUCAGAUCAUCGACAAAGGUAUCAAGAGGUGUUUCCUAACAAAAAAUUGCUGCCCAAACACCACUACAUAGAACAUUACCCACAACUGAUAAAGCUUUUGGGGCCUCUCGUGGGACUUUGGACCAUCAGGUUUGAGGCAAAGCACAGUUUCUUUAAAAAAGUUAUGAAACACACCAGUUGCUUUAAAAACGUGCCUCUGUCUCUGGCUGUGAAACAUCAGAUUAUGAUUGGCUAUCACUUGUCAUCUCCAAAUAUUGAUAAACCAGUGCUGGAUGUAUCGGAUGUAUCCACUGUCCCAUUAGAUGUUUUGAAGGAAGAGCUAGCUCAAGCUUUUAAACAGAGAGAUCCUGAUGUAUCUGAAAUAAACCUAGCAAAAAACGUUUGGAGCAAGGGAAUAAACUACAGACCAGGUAUGAUAGUGCCAUAUGGUUCUGAGGGUGGCAUGCCUGAAUUUGGGGAAAUCCAUCAAAUAUGUAUCCUGCAGCAGAGACUAUUUUUUGUGUUGAAACUGCUGUGUGGAUGGUAUUGUGAGCAUUAUGGAGCCUUUCAGCUGACUCCAUCUCCAGCACGAGAACUUGCUCUUGUGGAAAUCUCCGAACUGGUUGAUGAGUAUCCAUUGGCUGCCUAUGUAGUUGGGGGUGUGCGGAUGGUGACCUUGAAGAGAUCAAUCUGUUUGUUCUGGUAUGUAAAAAAAAAAAAAAAAAAAUAUAUAUAUAUAUAUAUAUAUUAUAUAUAUAGAUAUAUAUAUAUAUAUAUAUCUAUAUAUAUAUAUAUAUAUAUAUAUAUAGAUAUAUAUAAUACUAUAUCUCUAUCUCAUCUCUAUAUAUCUAUACUAUAUCUCUCUCUAUAUCUCUCUCUCUAUAUAUAUCUACCCACCCGUGGUUUUUUUUUAUUUAUUUUUUUCUCAUCUCUGGAGAUGAUAUAA
rnacentral:lncRNA from 1 species